UGGGGAAUUUUCGACAAUGGGCGCAAGCCUGAUCCAGCAAUGCCGCGUGCAGGAUGAAGGCCUUCGGGUGGUAAACUGCUUUUGUACGGAGCGAAAAGGUCUGCCCUAAUACGGUGGUCUCAUGACGGUACCGUAAUAAUAAGCACCGGCUAACUACGUGCCAGCAGCCGCGGUAAUACGUAGGGUGCGAGCGUUAUUCGGAAUUACUGGGCGUAAAGCGCGCGCAGGCGGUUAUAUAAGACAGAUGUGAAAUCCCCGGGCUCAACCUGGGAACUGCGUUUGUGACUGUAUAGCUAGAGUACGGCAGAGGGGGAUGGAAUUCCGCGUGUAGCGGUGAAAUGCGUAGAUAUGCGGAGGAACACCGAUGGCGAAGGCGGUUCCCUGGGCCUGUACUGACGCUGAUGCGCGAAAGCGUGGGGAGCAAACA
rnacentral:rRNA from 1 species